AGCUAAAUAGUUUAAAUUAAAACAUUAAUUUUGUAAAUUAAAAAUAAAAUUAUUUUUUUAGCUU
rnacentral:tRNA from 1 species